rnacentral:lncRNA from 1 species
CAGAAAAAUUUCCGGCGGAAACAAAAAUUCCAGACCUCUAGACAACACCGAGAUCUGCUGUGGGUAAGCAGUGAGAAAAAUGAGGUGGCUAAGCGGACAGUGUAAAAUGAAAGUGACCAGGGGAUAUUCCAGGAGUACCAAGUUGGUCGGAAUUGUGGGGGGAAAAACUGUCUAAAAGGAGCCGGUGGAAAAAGUGACCGGAGAAGGGCUCACGCGCGUGGCGCGUGGAUGUCAC